UGGCAAGAAAUGGCAGUCCAG
rnacentral:miRNA from 1 species